AACGACAGCAAACGAUGAAUAUGCACUCGUCAAGAUAUUUCGCAAUUGUAAUCUUUAUUGGCGGGAAUAAUUAAGUUUUGGCGCACUAAACCCCGCGAAAAUUUCGACAAACUUUUCACCAAAAUUCUUUUCCCUCCCCUGGAACUGGAACCCUAGCCUUAUAAUGUUUGUUCUUCCCACAGACAGAACUUCAAUCCCAUUCGCCACCAAAAGAUAAUGAAACAAGGAGAUAACUUCUCUCACCAAAAUCAAAAACCCAAAACUUCUCAUAGUUUUUAAUCUACCCUAACCGAAACCCAUCUUCGAACCUUUAAUGAUUUUUGUUCGACAAAGAAAUCAUCAUCAACAACAACGAUGGCAACAAAAUCCUUCCCAUUAAAAGCCAUAAAAGAAACCCAUUAAUGAAUUUGAUUUUCCAGUCAAAUCUUUAACCCGAUCUGGAAUCUGACUUCAGAUUAAUGCCCAGUAUGUCGUAAUCUGAAUUACCCAUAAAGUGUUUCCGGAUUCAAAUCAUUUACGAAUUACGAUUUUUGAUCUGAUGGAGGAAAUCAGAGCUAAUCCGAUUGUAACUAUAGAAACCAGCGUGAGUUUUGGUUCGUUCGAAGGAUUUGGAUGUUUGGGUAUCCAUCAGCAUCUGAAAUAAUCACCAGCUUGGGUAGUUAUCGUGGUGAAAAAGAUGGGGCUCUGCUUUGAACUACGAAAUCUGUGUGUAAGUAGAGAUUUCUGAUCUCCGAUUCAGUUCAAAAGGGAAAUUAUUGAAAGCUCAAUAUUAAUUUGUCUCAGCUGCAUUUCCUAUUUCUUGAGACUGUCUCUUUUACUCAGUUAUGAAACUCUUUUUUGAUUAAUCGUUUAACGGGAAUGAUAUUAAAUUUUCUUCAAUUUUUUACAUUU